rnacentral:rRNA from 1 species
UACGGAGGGUGCAAGCGUUAUCCGGAUUCACUGGGUUUAAAGGGUGCGUAGGUGGGCAAGUAAGUCAGUGGUGAAAUCUCCGGGCUUAACCCGGAAACUGCCAUUGAUACUAUUUGUCUUGAAUACUGUGGAGGUCAGCGGAAUAUGUCAUGUAGCGGUGAAAUGCUUAGAUAUGACAUAGAACACCAAUUGCGAAGGCAGCUCACUACGGGAUUAUUGACACUGAGGCACGAAAGCGUGGGGAUCAAACAGG